CGCGCAGGCGGCACCUCAAGUACUCUCUGAAAUCCACCUGCUCAACGGGUGGGGUGGAGAGUAGACUGAGGAGCUAGAGAGAGGUAGAGGGGGGUAGAAUUGCUGGUGUAGCGGUGAAAUGCGUAGAGAUCAGCAGGAAUACCCGUGGCGAAGGCGGCCCCCUGGGCCUCUUCUGACGCCGAGGCGCGAAGGCUGGGAGCAACG
rnacentral:rRNA from 1 species